rnacentral:rRNA from 1 species
AAUUUUGGACAAUGGGGGAAACCCUGAUCCAGCCAUCCCGCGUGUGUGAUGAAGGCCUUCGGGUUGUAAAGCACUUUUUACAGGGAAGAAAUGACAGGAGCUAAUAACUUCUGUAGAUGACGGUACCUGUAGAAUAAGCACCGGCUAACUACGUGCCAGCAGCCGCGGUAAUACGUAGGGUGCAAGCGUUAAUCGGAAUUACUGGGCGUAAAGGGUACGCAGGCGGCUAGGAAAGAAAGAUGUGAAAUCCCAGGGCUCAACCUUGGAACUGCAUUUUUAACUACCUGGCUAGAGUAUGUCAGAGGGGGGUAGAAUUCCACGUGUAGCAGUGAAAUGCGUAGAGAUGUGGAGGAAUACCGAUGGCGAAGGCAGCCCCCUGGGAUAAUACUGACGCUCAGGUACGAAAGCGUGGGGAGCAAACAG